rnacentral:rRNA from 1 species
AUUGAACGCUGGCGGCAUGCUUUACACAUGCAAGUCGAACGGCAGCACGGGGGCAACCCCGGUGGCGAGUGGCGAACGGGUGAGUAAUACAUCGGAACGUGCCCAAUCGUGGGGGAUAACGUAGCGAAAGCUACGCUAAUACCGCAUACGAUCUACGGAUGAAAGCGGGGGAUCGCAAGAACUCGCGCGAAUGGAGCGGCCGAUGGCAGAUUAGGUAGUUGGUGAGGUAAAGGCUCACCAAGCCUGCGAUCUGUAGCUGGUCUGAGAGGACGACCAGCCACACUGGGACUGAGACACGGCCCAGACUCCUACGGGAGGCAGCAGUGGGGAAUUUUGGACAAUGGGCGCAAGCCUGAUCCAGCAAUGCCGCGUGCAGGAUGAAGGCCUUCGGGUUGUAAACUGCUUUUGUACGGAACGAAACGGUCCUUUCUAAUACAAGGGGCUAAUGACGGUACCGUAAGAAUAAGCACCGGCUAACUACGUGCCAGCCGCCGCCGUAA